GGUCCUUUGAAGCUGUUCUGAAAACCUUGAACUCUAUUCCUGUUACAUCAGAAUGCUUAGUUUUAAAUUUAUUGAUGCUCCGCAGGAACAAUGGCGCUCGGUGUAACGGAGCUGUUAUGUGAAGACACUAAGAUGCAAAAGAAAAUUCCAAAACAUGGGAGAAUAUUUGCUGGGAAAUUACCUGGCUAAAAUAUAUUCUUACCAGCAUCCUGAGGAUUGAUAAAUACUAAUGAAGCUAUCCGUGUCAGCUUCGUUUUGAAUGAGGGGUCACUAUCUGCCAGUUGAAAGGGGCCAGUUUGCUGCUGUUUUUGAGCUGUAACCAUUUCUGGCCAGUGUUACAAGAGUGACUUGCAUGUUGUGUGGAAAACUGGUAAUCAGGAAAAGCUCUUCAUUUUAUGGACAUGGAAAGAAAACAUAUGCAUCAAGAUAGAGUGUUUAUUUUUAAUUUUGCAAAUAGAUUCUGAACUACAUCAAAUCUAGAUUAAUAUAUUCGUAAGAUUUCAAGCCAUUUCUAUUUAGUCAUAUCACACUGCCCUACAGAGUCACAACCUGUUAACUAGUAGAUUAUAUCCUAGAUCUGUUUCUAGGAAUGCAUGUCAAACUAAGUAUUUGUAAUGGAAUUGUUUUGGCAGUUAAGUAGCCUUGUAAUCAAAUAAUUGUGGAUAAAUGUCCUAAUUUUGAUCAUAUGUUUAAAGUUAAAAUACAUAAAUAAAGUGGAGUGAACGUUUAUACUGUUUAAUGGAGAUGGGAGCAAUGUGAAAAGACGGGGCCUAUUAUGGGGUAGGGAGUACCAGGGCAUCAAAGUGAUUGCUCUGAUUAACUGACUCAUAAAAUAUUUAGUCUUAUGUAAUUGUAAUGUGAAAGGAUGUUUAAGCUAAAAAAUGGAAAGUGAUGAAAAUGAAGAGUACUACAUAGCAGUUAAGGGUCACAAAGAAGGUCACUGAAAAAAAUCUGGGUUAGAACUAGUCAGAUAUUACAUGGAAUGGAUUUUUGUAAACAGUAGUAGCAUCUGAUCUAACCAAGGUGAUUAGGUGAUUCAUGAUCGUUUUUCCUAAAUAGCUGCAUGAAUAAGUUGUUCCCAAGCCCAUACCUAAUGUCAUAGUCAAAGCAUGAAAUUUCUUUCCUCGAUGAGCUGUCAUCUUUUUCCUAAAAUGUUUGUUUUCUUGGCUUAGUGAAAGGAAUUUCAUUUUGGACUCAUGCCGCUCAGGAGAGGCUCUCAAGGCUUACAAGACUAUGGCUGAAUGGCCAGACACACAGUGAAUUUGCCCCAAGUAGUAAGACUGUGUGUACAAUGGAUGUCUGAAAAUGUUUCUUGAACCCAUAUUAAAAUAAAAAAUACUGAUAUCCUAAACAUUAAAGGUUUAGUGGGGUAGUUGUACAAUAUUAAACGAGGUACAAGAAAUCCCACAGAGGCUAUGGUUGUGGGAAAUUAAGGGGGCUUGAGGCUUGUUUCGGUGAGAACAAUCGAUUGGUGUAAUGUGUUACACAUACUGUAUCUUGGUAUUACCAAAAGAAAUGAGGAAAACUGGCACCAUAGAGGUAAAAUGCACCUUCAGGUAAAUGAUUCAAUGAGAUAAUGUAUAUAAAAUGAAGCAAUUGACAAUCAUGGCUAUUACAGCUCCUAUAUUUCCUCUCGAUGCUAUAAGAUCAACAAACAAGUAACAUUGUGUUGGUAACCUUAUUAGUUUCUUCUGUUACACAUAUAGAUAUCAGUAAACUGACAUUGCA